CCCUACCGUUAGCCUUCUGUUGUCGCUGCCGUCGCCGCCACCACCGCCACCACCACGAGUCUCCCAAUCUCGUCUCUCGCAUCAACCCUCACCGUUAGCCUUCUGUUGUCGCCGUCGCCGCCGUCACCACGAGUCUCCCAAUCGGGUCUAACAAGGUAAUAUCUCUCGCUAAAUCUAUACCGAUUUAUAACUCUAGCCGCUCUAGCUGUACCCUCUUUCAUUUUUUUCUCUCCCAUUCUUCAAUCGAAUGUUUAGGGUUUUGGCUAAAGUGCGCAAAUUGGGGGUUUGUUUUUUAUAUAUCAUCUUAAUUAGAUUUCAAAACACAUUUCUGCGUUUAUUUAUGUUUGAAUUUAAGUUAGAUAUUCCGAAAUAAUAUGGUAAUUAGAAGCUAAGCAUAAGUCAGAAUGAAUUUUUUUAUUUUCCGUUGUGGAAGAGCCCUAGCAAGUGGUUUCAGUUCUUCCUGAUUCAUUUCGCGAAUCCGAGCGAGCUAAAAAUACAGUGACGUAGUCGAUGUUGUUUGUGGAGGCACCUUGGGAAUCUUCAUUGCUAGGCAGAGAUCGUCGAUGAGAGUAUUUUGAAAGGGGUAAAAAUAAAAUUUAAAUAUUUUCUUUCACAUUUUCGCAAUUUUUGUAAUAUUUUUGAUAAUUCGUUUUUUCAUGGUGGUCAGAGGGAGCAUGAGUAGAAUAUAUCAAGAAAGGAGCUUUUGGAGUUUGUUCUAAUUUGUUCGUGUUCCUUAUACCAGCUUCAAUCCUAUAUCUUAUCUCAUUUUCCUCUAAUUACAAUUGAUUAUGCUGGAAAGAUUCUUGAAUAAUGUCAUCUGAUGAUGUAUAUAAUUUAUAUAAACUUUGCAGAUGUGGAUUUGAAGGCAAGGGUGAAAUUUGGUUUAAAGGUAUCCUCAAUUUUGAUUCUUCUUUUAUAUUUUACAAUUUAUCCAUUCAACUUUACUUUAAGCUCUAUUACAAUGUUGUAUUUUACCUUAUGUGGAAGUUAUAGAAAACUCAAAAUUAUUUGGAUCCCACAACUUAAUAUUCAGAGCAACACUAAACUAAAGGGUGAGAAUGCCACUAAACUGAAGAUACAUUUUUUAAGCAUUAUUGUUUCUUUCUGAUUAUACAUUUUGUGUCAUUCAAUUUGACUUAAAAUAGGACGAAAGACUUCAUAAGCAAGCUUGUUACCGAAUUGAACAUUGUUGCAUUGGA
rnacentral:lncRNA from 1 species